rnacentral:rRNA from 1 species
CCUACGGGUGGCUGCAGUGAGGAAUAUUGGUCAAUGGACGAGAGUCUGAACCAGCCAAGUAGCGUGAAGGAUGACUGCUCUAUGGGUUGUAAACUUCUUUUAUAUGGGAAUAAAAUGUUCCACGUGUGGGAUUUUGUAUGUACAAUAUGAAUAAGGAUCGGACAACUCCGUGCAAGCAGCCGCGGUAAUACGGAGGCUCCGAGCGUUAGCGGGAUUGAUUGGGUUUAAAGGGAGCGUAGGUGGAGUGUUAAGUCAGUUGUGAAAGUUUGCGGCUCAACCGUAAAAUUGCAGUUGAAACUGGCAGUCUUGAGUACAGUAGGGGUGGGCGGAAUUCGUGGUGUAGCGGUGAAAUGCUUAGAGAUCGCGAAGAACUCCGAUUGCGAAGGCAGCUCACUGGACUGCAACUGACACUGAGGCUCGAAGGUGUGGGUAGCAAACGGGAUUAGAUACCCCUGUAGUC